rnacentral:rRNA from 1 species
AGUGAACGCUGGCGGUAGGCCUAACACAUGCAAGUCGAACGGCAGCACAGUAAGAGCUUGCUCUUACGGGUGGCGAGUGGCGGACGGGUGAGGAAUACAUCGGAAUCUACUUUUUCGUGGGGGAUAACGUAGGGAAACUUACGCUAAUACCGCAUACGACCUACGGGUGAAAGCAGGGGAUCUUCGGACCUUGCGCGAUUGAAUGAGCCGAUGUCGGAUUAGCUAGUUGGCGGGGUAACGGCCCACCAAGGCGACGAUCCGUAGCUGGUCUGAGAGGAUGAUCAGCCACACGGGAACUGAGACACGGUCCAGACUCCUACGGGAGGCAGCAGUGGAGAAUAUUGGACAAUGGGCGCAAGCCUGAUCCUGCCAUACCGCGUGGGUGAAGAAGGCCUUCGGGUUGUAAAGCCCUUUUGUUGGGAAAGAAAAGCAGCAGGUUAAUACCCCGCUGUUCUGACGGUACCCAAAGAAUAAGCACCGGCUAACUUCGUG